rnacentral:rRNA from 1 species
UGAGGAACAUGACCUUCGGCGGGGGAUAGCCGGCCCAACGGCCGGGUAAUACCGCGUACGACCACUUUGGGACAUCCCUAGGUGGUGAAAGCAGCAAUGCGCCGAUGGAGUGCCUCGCGGCCUAUCAGCUAGUUGGUGAGGUAACGGCUCACCAAGGCGACGACGGGUAGCUGGUCUGAGAGGAUGGCCAGCCACAUUGGGACUGAGACACGGUCCAGACUCCUACGGGAGCAG